GCCAGGUGUGGUAGUGUGUACCAGUAGUCCCAGCUACUCGGGAGACUGAGGUGGGAGGAUUGCUACAGCCCAGGAAUUCUGGGCUGUAGUGCGCUCUGCUGAUCAGGUGUUCUGCACUAGUUUGGCAUCAAUAUGGUGACCUCCAGGGAGCAGGGGACCACCAAGUUGUCUAAGGAGGGGAGAAGCAGCCCAGGUCAGAAACAGAGCAGGUCAAAACUUCCAUGCUAGUUAGUAGUGGGAUCAUGCCUACGAAUAACCACUGCACUACAGCCUGGACAACAUAGCAAGAUUGCAUCUCU
rnacentral:SRP_RNA from 1 species